GUAUUUACCACACUUAGCACACAAAAGAGGAUGAGGCCGAUUGCUUACACUGUCCUGAGACCUGGAAGGUACCGGCCUAUUCCCGAGAUCUUGCCUGCCCCGAUAUACUGGAGCACUAGCUGACGAAGGCGCAUGUAUAAAUAGAUAUCUCUGAAAUUGAGGGCGACUUCCUCUAGAGAAUCUAGUUUGACAAGACCUCUGUUGCUCCGAUCUGACUCUCUUAAUCCCU
rnacentral:lncRNA from 1 species